ACGGCAGCCUUUAGCAACCUUUCUAGUAUUUCUGGUACUAAUACUAUGAGUUUGUGCUUGACAGGUGCCUGCCUCCUGGUAACAUGUCAUUGGAACUACACGUACCACUGAAACUUCUCUGUUCAGAAUGCUGCCAGACUUUGUGCUUGUGUUAUUGAGCUUAUGCUGCUUUUCCUAUGUGGCCUCUAAACAUUGGCUGUCACUAUGGCAUGGAGAACUGAAGUGAAGAUGCUGGAGGACGGAGGCAAUCAUGGAAUGACAGAGGCUGGAAGAGGGGGAGAGCAGAGAGGAGAGGAGAGCAACUAGGAUGGUACA
rnacentral:lncRNA from 1 species